AAUACCUGAAGGGAGAGGCAGAUGACGUAUUUUAUUCCUUUUUUUCCCUAGUCCUGCCUGCUCCCUCGGCAGCCACCAGUCUACUUGUCGGGUAUGAAAAGGAGGUCCUUAGCCCUGGUGACGAAGGCUGCUGCAGGUACAGGACUACCUGUGUCUUUAGUUAAGAACUGGAUUGGUAACUAUGGGUGUUCACUUAAUACCUCCUGCAACACCCGGUGUCGCAAAGCUGCUGGUUAUAAGCGCGGUGUCUGCCUAUAACUUGUUUUGCGCAGAGCUGCUGAAGGGGAAAGUCACCCCCAGACGCGGCGAGGGUCGGCCGGGCCCCAGUGCAGCUCCAGUCCCCCCAAGAAGUGGCAUGGGCCACAGUGGACCUCCAGUCCCCCCAAGAAACGGCGAGGUCCAGCCUGGCCCCAGUAGAACUCCACUCCCAUCCAGACAUGGCGAGGGCCAGUCGGGCUCCAGUGCCCCUCAGACGUGGUGAGGAACAGACUGGCCUCAGCGGACCUCCGGGGCCCCCCAGACCCCCCAGCCGACCUUUGUGUUUUUUUCUGGGUAUCCUGCCUUGGAGACUUUUCUGGUGGGUCCACUUCUCUUCACUCCACUGAAAACCAAAAUUCUAUAUAUUUCCUCAUCAUCCUUGCUGGUUCAGCUAGUAGUCCACUACACCUGUCACUCGUAUAAAAAACCCUGAACCCAUUACAGAUGUUUGUAUUCAAGAACAAACCUUGACUGAAGUUGCCCACAGCGUCCGAAUCGCGAAGUCGAGCGCAAUUUGCACUUGGAAGUCCAUUCGCGUGUAAAGAAUUUGCUAAUGUCGAGCUGAUCACAUUCCUAGCUGUAUUUUGUCUAACCUAGGAAUUGACAUGUUCCUUUCUAGCUAUUUUGUCCUUUACGACAUCUUUCAGAAGUUUAUAUUUCUUUAUUGGCCCUUCUUUUACCAAGCAAGUUGACUGAGAACCCAAACUGUAUUACAGCAACAAACUUGGGACAAUUUGCAUGCAUGGGAAGGUGAGGGGUAGAAUGGGCCAAAAUGAAGUGUACAAAAAUCAAGAUGUUUUUUGUGGGGUAGGGUCUACCUGUCCCCCCCCCCCCCGGGCCCCCAUGUCCCGCAGGUGCUGGGUCAGUGGGACCCAUAACUGACACUCUUGGCCAUGCUGGUGUCGGAUGUGAGUGGUAAAAAUGUGGUUGUUUGCUUUGUUUCAUAAUGGUGCGGAUUGAGUCACAAAAAUAUGUUGAAAUUAAGUGUCCAGUAUAUUGAAAUUAAAUGCUUCCAUCUCAUGAGCAUAAGUUGUGAGACAGAAAGAGGAAUGAAAGUAAAAUAAAUAGUUUUGUUUAUCUGUAUGAUAGUAUUUAACUGCAUGGCUGUACAUUUUAGUCAAUUUCAUAACUCUACAUUAAAUAUGCAGUUGAUUUUAAUGAGUCCUAAUACAUAUGUUUGUGUUACAGAUUGUUUCACUUAUAAUUCACAGUAUCACAAUUCCAGUGGAUCAGAAGUUUACAUACACUAAGUUGACUGUGCCUUUAAACAGCUUGGAAAAUUCCGGAAAUUAUGUCAUGGCUUUAGAAGCUUCUGAUAGGCUAAUUGACAUCAUUUGAGUCAAUCAGAGGUGUACCUGUGGAUGUAUUUCAAGGCCUACCUUCAAACUCAGUGCCUCUUUGCAUGACAUCAGGGGAAAAUCAAAAGAAAUCUGCCAAGACCUCAGAAAAAAAAAAUUGUAGACCUCCACAAGUCUGGUUCAUCCUUGGGAGCAAUUUCCAAACCCCUGAAGGUACCACGUUCAUCUGUACAAACAAUAGUACGCAAGUAUAAACACCAUGGUACCACGCAGCCGUCAUACCGCUCAGGAAGGAGACGUGUUCUGUCUCCUAGAGAUGAACGUACUUUGGUGAGAAAAGGGCAAAUCAAUCCCAGAACAACAGCAAAGGACAUUGUGAAGAUGCUGGAAGGAACGGGUACAAAAGUAUAUCCACAGUAAAACGAGUCCUAUGUCGACAUAACCGUAAAGGCCGCUCAGCGAGGAAGAAGCCACUGCUCCAAAACCUCCAUAAAAGGUUUGACACUGCACAUGGGGACAAAGAUUGUACUUUUUGGAGAAAUGUCCUCUGGUCUGAGGAAACAAAAAUAGAACCGUUUGGCCAUAAUGACGAUUGUUAUGUUUUGCGGAAAAGGGGAGAGGCUUGGAAGCCGAAGAACACCAUCCCAACCGUGAAGCACGGGGGUGGCAGCAUCGUGUUGUGGGUGUGCUUUGCUGCAGGAGGGACUGGUGCACGUCACAAGAUAGAUGGCAUCAUGAGACAGGAAAAUUAUGUGGAUAUAUUGAAGCCACAUCUCAAGACAUCAGUCAGGAAGUUAAAGCUUGGUCGCAAAUGGUUCUUCCAAAUGAAUAACGACAUUUCCAUAUACAUUUAAGUCAUUUAGCAGACGCUCUUAUCCAGAGCGACUUACAAGUACAUACAUUCAUACUUUUUUGUAUUGGCCCCCCGUGGGAAUCGAACCCACAACCCUGGCGUUGCAAGCGCCAUGCUCUACCAACUGAGCCACAUGGGACCCCAUGCAUACUUCCAAAGUUGUGGCAAAAUGGCUUAAGGACAACAAAGUCAAGGUAUUGGAGUGGCCAUCACAAAGUCCUGACCUCAAUCCUAUAGAAAAUUUGUGGGCAGAACUGAAAAAGUGUGCGUGCAAGGAGGCCUACAAACCUGACUCAGUUACACCAGCUCUGUCAGGAGCAAUGGGCCAAAAUUCCCCAAACUUAUUGUGGGAAGCUUUUGGAAGGCUACCCGAAACAUUUGACCCAAGUUAAACAAUAUAAAGGCAAUGCUACCGAAUACUAAUUGAAUGAAUGUAAACUUCUGACCCACUAGGAAUGUGAUGAAAGAAAUAAAAGCUGAAAUAAAUGAUUCUCUCUACUA